UACGAAGGGAGCUAGCGUUGUUCGGAAUUACUGGGCGUAAAGCGCGCGUAGGUGGCUUUUCAAGUCAGAGGUGAAAUCCCCAGGCUCAACCUGGGAAUUGCCUUUGAAACUGUUAAGCUUGAGUACUGGAGGGGAUGGUGGAAUUUCUAAUGUAGCGGUGAAAUGCGUAGAUAUUAGAAGGAACACCGGUGGCGAAGGCGACCAUCUGGACAGUAACUGACACUGAGGCGCGAAAGCGUGGGGAUCAAACAGG
rnacentral:rRNA from 1 species